rnacentral:lncRNA from 1 species
GGCAAUUAUGAAAAAAAAAAAGAGAGAAAAUUAAAAACUUAUAUAUUAACAAUUGAAAAUUUUAGCUUUUACCUCAUUUACUUUCCACCAAAUAAAUAAUAGAACUAGAGAAACUUCAGUUUCAUACCUAUAAAAAUAAAUAGUAAAAGAAAAGUAAUUUUCAUUUGAACUCUAAUUCGCUCGAAAAUCUAGCUCAACCUGAACUUCACUUUCAGUGAAAUAAACAUGUCCUAUACUAACCAUAUUUUCAACUUUUUUCUUACUCGAAUAAUAAUAAAUAUGCUUUGUCAAUAUCAAUUUUUUUUUUAAAAAAAAUAAGAGUGAAAAAUUCAAAAUUAAAAUCUAAUUGGCUGGAUAUAUUUUAUGACU